rnacentral:lncRNA from 1 species
UUUAUUUUUUUUGGGAAGCUGUUUGGUGGUUGUUGGUAAUGACAACACCCAGAGGUUUCAAACAGAGGAAAGAACCUCGCAGCCGUCUCCGAACACCUAAAAAACGUAAUUUUCGGAGGCGUUUUUCCCAAAUUUCCGCCUUUUCCCGGCAGAGGCGGAGCGGCUGCAGCGCCUGGUGGUGCUGUCCCACCGGCACGGGCAGGAGUGCGGGCUCGUGCCCGACGUCCAGCUGCCAACAUCUGGCGGCGCGGCGCCGCUGGUUUGGCAAUGCGCCGCCGGGCACCGCUUCUCGUGGGGCGGCGACUCCGGCGGCGAUUCCGGCGGAGAUUCCGGCGAUUCCGGGCGGAGGCGACGGCGGAGAAGGGACGCGGUGGGAACCAACGAGGACGGAGAGGAGGGAACGGCCGGGGCACCCAAGGGUGACGAGGAGAUGGGAGAUGGGGGAGGCAGCGGCGGAGAGGCCCCUCAGGCGCCGCCGGACCCGGACCCGGCGCUGGCGACCUCCGACAGCGCCGAGCCGGGGGACAAGGUGGAUGAACCCCGAGAGGAAGAGGAGGAUGAAGAUUCUGACCUGGCCUACGGCGACGAUGCGCGCGAUGAGAAUUAUCACCCGUCCUCGGAUAGACCCAAACCCACUCCAUGACCAACCAUAACUUGCUCCUUUCCACCAAAUCCAACCCAAACCCAAAUCCAACCCAAACCCAAACCCAAAUCCCAUCCAUGACCAACCAGAACUCGCUCAUCUCCUACCAAAUCCAACCCAAACCCAAACCCAACCCAAAUCCAAAUCCAAACCCAAACCUAAAUCCAAGUCCAAACCCAAACCCAAACCCAACCCAAACCAAAAUUCAACCCAAACCCAACCCAACCCAAAUCCAAAUCCAAACCCAAACCCAAACCCAACCCAAACCCAAAUCCAAACCCAAACCCAAACCCAACCCAAAUCCACUCCAUGACCAACCAUAACGCGCUCAGUUCCACCAAAUCCAACCCAAACCCAAACCCAACCCAACCCAAACCCAAAUCCAAACCCAACCCAACCCAAACCCAAAUCCAAACCCAAACCCAAACCCAAAUCCAAACCCAAAUCCAAACCCAAACCCAACCCAAACCCAACCCAAACCCAACCCAAACCC